AACCUCAACUUCCACCGUGGGUUCCACCAGCGUCACUAUGUUUUACUUCCCCGAUAGACAUGGUUCGAUGCUUUUUAUUUGGUGGUUAAUGUUCUCUUCAUGAGAGAUCAUUGAUUUCGAUCCACGGUAGAUAAAUGGUUUUAUUAAAGAUGUAUCUCCAGCUAUUGAUAAAGAGUUCGGAGCCUUUUUCUUCGAGCUCGCUUUUACAAAUCUGAUAUAGUUGGUCAUAAUUCUUUCGACAUUU
rnacentral:snoRNA from 1 species